CCAUGGAAACGGAGCGCAACACUGCAAAUGUCACGAGGAAACACCCCGUUUCUCGCUGAUUUCACUGUUUUCAGGAAUGGUUUAAUGUCUUCGAAAAAAAGUCCGUUAGCAUUUCUACCGUUUUCAGACGACGUAUCGUCAGAGUGACAAAAAAAUCCUACUACAACUGAAGGGAGUGUCCAAGAUUUCAAUAUUUCUGAAGGGAGCUGCUGACAGAGAUGUAGGAAGCGCUGAAAAGAUUCUUCAGUGCUGAUGUCCUGCUGCAUCCAGCAGAGCCGGAGUGAACCUACUGUAAGACAACAUCUCCAAGAUGCUAUUGACCACAAGACUAGUACAGGUUAUUAGAAACUGAACAGCACAGGACUUGCAGGACUUGUGAGGACUUCAGAUGAUACCAGUACUCAAAAGACCUUAGAUGAUGGCAACUAUAGAUGGACAUACAAACUACCGCCACUGCAAAAAAGAUUCUAAUUUGAAAGAAGUUUAUAAUGCAUGUUCGCUACUCCCAAUUCAGAAGACUGAAUCAGCCUGUGUAUCUGAAUGAUUCUCAUACUCACUCCUCUCUGCCGCGUCUCACAGAGGAUCAAUUUACAGAAGCCUGUUUCGUAAUGCUUGUUUAUACUCGGUAUACUCCAAACCGCAAGACUCUACAAGCGCAUCUGGCAAUGGCAAUCAAGGCUUGAUGCACGGCUGCAGCCUGUGUCAACUCACGCUUGUCUCUGUAUUUAACACAAAUGUAAAUUCAGUUUAACUGCAUUGCUAAUUUCACUUAGAAGAAAUGAAACAUUCACCACAUUUUCCACUUGUUCUUAAAAUCCAAAAUACUUAAAAAAAUGAAUAAAUCGUCCUAAAACACAAUAGAAUAUUUAAUGGAAUUAAGGGUUAUAAUGGGAAUUAUAUUGGCUUUAAUGUAAACUAUAAUGGUGUCUGCUGGUAUUUGAUGGAUUCUAUUGGUGGGAUGUAAUCUGGCAGAUGGGAAUAAAUAGAACAACAGUAAUUCA